rnacentral:lncRNA from 1 species
CACGCUAUGAGAGGAAUUUCUCCCUGAGCUACUGUGAGAGACCAAGUAGAACAUCCCAGGUCGUCCCCCAAAGAGGGAAGACGCUGAGGUGUCCACCCUGCAGUCUCUGCCUGUGGCUGGUGGGGGCUGAUUCCGGGAUGGGAGCUCUGGCACAAGUGGUCUCUGGUGCAGAGAGCUGCCACUGCUCAGUCAGCAGUGCUCGGCGUGUGGGGCUGAGCACCCAGGACACACUCGGCCUCUGCGGCCAACGCUCUUUGCCUGGAAGGACAGCCAAGUAUCACUCCCUCACUGUUGCUCUUCAGAGUGACUCACUGGAAACAGGAUGUGGAAAACAUGCAGAAUGGCAAAGCCAAUGAUCUCAGCAGACGCCGACACUUCCACCACUCCUCACGUCCAGCGCCGUCUGGAAACUCACUGAAUGUUCACGACAACCUGAGGCCCGCAGAUCAAUUUCUGAGUCACAGAGCCUGCGUCAUCUCCCAGCACAGGUGAGUUUGAGCAGGAUGCUCAUUAAAAGAAACAACGGGGUGUAAACCUUCGUGCAGCCGACGGGAGCCCUGGGAGGACAGAUCUGCGCAGCCAGCACUCAGCGAGCAUCCAAGGCCCCCUGACGAGUCACAGGUCUGCAGGGCUGCACUUCACCCCACGGAUGAGUAGACCAGCGUCCACCCCUGCGCACGGAGCCAGGCACUGCCGCAGCCCUUCUCCCUGGCUGCCACCCUGCCUUCCCGAAGCAUCCAAUGACCGGGGUGGGGGACUCCCACAUCCCCACCCACAGAUGAAUACUCCAGCUGCACGACAUCUAGAAUAUUCCUUGAAUACCCACUAUCUGCACGUUCCAUACUAGAAGCUUGGGCUUACAAUUGUGACGAAGUCAGAGGUGUCCCUGCUUGUGGGGCACUUUCAUCCAGGGAAAGACAGAUGAUGCCAAAACAAACGAAGAAGAAGAAUACGCCCACAGUGUUCAUGCUUUGAAAAAUAAUCAUAAAACAAGUGGAUAUGUCAUUAAAAAUCACCAGGAGGAAGGAGGGUUAGAUGGGGGCGAAAGUGUCAAAGAUGUCAAAGAAAGUGUGAAACCCACAUAACGAGAGUGAGAGGUCUUGCAAAGAUCUGGGUGAGUGCCUCUCCUGCAGAGGGCAAAGCUGGUGCAAAGGCUCUGAGGUGGGAACAAACCGGGUGUGAUCAAGGAUCAGGAGGGGAUGGCAGGGACCAGCUUAGUGGACCACGUGAGGAGUUGGGGUUUUAUUCAGAAUGUGUGAUGAUGCCAUUGGAGGGGUAACAACAGAGACGCUGAUCCCCAAAGCCAGGCAUGUUCUUAUUCACUGCAGGGCAAUGUGCCCUCUUGCAGCUUGUCUCGACUCCAGCUCCUCACGUGGGGCCUGGGCUUAUUGGAAUGUAGGUGGACAGAUGAGAGGAGGGGUAAGGAGCCAAGAAGCGGGCAGGAGAGAGGGCGUGGCUCUCCAGGAAUCAUGUCAUCCCGUCCUCAUGACGGUCCUGUGUAACAGAUGAGAAAGGGGAAGCCUGCUCAGCGUUAGUGGAGGAGUCAAGUUCACGCCCACACUGGGGACUGCAAACUGCCCUGUCCUCUGCCCCCUGGGUGCAUGCCCUUUGCUACAUGGCUUUGCUGUUCCUCCCAUCAAGUGGGACUGGCCUGGGACUUGCUUUAACAGACGGAGUGAGGCAGCAGGGACAGCGUCCAGCUCUGAGCCUCGGUCUCAAGAGGCACCGUGGUCUGGCACCCUCUCCCGCCUCUGCUGCAUGAAGCCCAGGCGAGUGAGCCUGCUGGAGACACAGAGACAGGUUGGGCCAGCACAGACAGCCUGGACCAGCCAGCCCCCAGCCAACCCGACAGCAAACCAAAGACUCUGGAGGAAGCCAGCUGAGACCAGAGCCACCUAGAUGAGCCCAGCCAAACUGCCAACCUGCCGAAUCAGGAGGGUCCUGGCUUCGGGGGACCUGUGGCUGGGGACACAGCCUUGGAGCCAGCCCUGCCCUGCAGGCCCCUGGGCCUGUGGACCAGCUAGAGAAGAGAGAGCGAGGAGGCAGCUGUGACAUCGCUGGAUGAGAGCCUUGCCAGGCCCCGGGGACGCAGGGCAGGCUCAGCACGGCAGAUGUUCCAUGAUUGGGAGGAAACCGAGGCAGACGGAGGCUCAGAACCCGCGGCCCUGUGCCUGUGGCGGCUGGGCCCAGCCUCAUUUCCGAGGAAGCCAUCCGUGCGCUGGUGGGGCGGAGAGGGAAGAUGCAUGGACUUGCCUGGCAGGCUGUCGCCAAAGAGGCCGAACGUCUGCUCCCAAUUACCCGCAGCCUUGCUCCGUUGUUUUUUCAAUUCAACAGAAAAGUCUUUUUUUGUCCUCAAAUGAAGUUAAUGGCUUUUUAAGUCGCCAUAUGUUGACUUCGGUUAGAUCCCUUUGCAGUCGUUCAUGUGACCCAAGUUUGAGGACCAAGCCCCCAAGUGCCUGUGUCAGCCCAAGGUGUGUGUCUCUGAAGGGGGGGUCUCCAAAGGAAAAUGGAGGUGCCAUUCCCUGAAGAAGGGGACCAUUGGCCCGGCAGGCAGUAAUCCUGGCCGUCCACCAGGCACGGAGCGCCUGGCUUGGCUGCUGUUUGGAAUCGUGGGCCCGGGUUUCCGGGAUCGCAAAGCCCCACGCUAAGACGGAAGCUUUUUAAGUGAGCCAAAGUAAGAAAACGCGCAUUAUUUCUGUUCUGGUCCAUAAUCAGC